ensembl:lncRNA
GACGGAGCGGCACUUCAACCGGUCUCUCGCUACGUCAAGGAGUGCGUGACUUCCAGCCUUCAUCUGUAUGGAAGGCUACGCGCAGCGUCAGGCGAGGCGUGUGGGACCUGAGCCCAAGGACCAUGCCUCAGGACUACCUGGCAUAAUGACUCCUUGCUGUCCCCAGUCCACCUGUCCGUGCUGCUGCUCCAGUUUCAACUGUUCUGCCUGCAGCUAUGGAAUCCUGACCUGUUCACCGGAUGUGCUACCUGUCCCAGACCUGCUGUUUUCAACUCUCUAGAGACAGCAGGAGUGGUAGAGAUACUCUUAAUGAUCGGCUAUGAAAAGCCAACUGACAUUUACUCCUGAGGUGCUGACUUGCUGCACCCUCGACAACUACUGUGAUUAUUAUUAUUUGACCAUGCUGGUCAUUUAUGAACGUUUGAACAUCUUGG